AUUGAACGCUGGCGGCAUGCCUUACACAUGCAAGUCGAACGGCAGCAUGGAAGAGCUUGCUCUUCUGAUGGCGAGUGGCGAACGGGUGAGUAAAGCAUCGGAACGUACCGUGUAGUGGGGGAUAACGUAGCGAAAGUUACGCUAAUACCGCAUACGCACUGAGGUGGAAAGCAGAGGAUCGCAAGACCUUGCGCUAUACGAGCGGCCGAUGUCAGAUUAGCUAGUUGGUAGGGUAAAGGCCUACCAAGGCGACGAACUGUAGCGGGUCUGAGAGGAUGAUCCGCCACACUUGGACUGAGACACGGCCCAGCCUCCUACGGGAGGCAGCAGUGGGGAAUUUUGGACAAUGGGCGAAAGCCUGAUCCAGCCAUGCCGCGUGAGUGAAGAAGGCCUUCGGGUUGUAAAGCUCUUUCGGCUGGGAAGAAAUCGCACAGGCUAAUACUCUGUGUGGAUGACGGUACCAGCACAAGAAGCACCGGCUAACUACGUGCCAGCAGCCGCGGUAA
rnacentral:rRNA from 1 species